rnacentral:rRNA from 1 species
AGGACGAACGCUGGCGGCGUGCUUAACACAUGCAAGUCGAGCGAGGCCCUUCCUUCGGGAAGGUGCCCUAGCGGCGAACGGGUGAGUAACACGUGGGCAACCUGCCCCUAGCACUGGGAUAACUCCGGGAAACCGGGGCUAAUACCGGAUAUGACCUUUGAGGGCAUCCUCGAAGGUGUAAAGGAUUCUGGCUAGGGAUGGGCCCGCGGCCUAUCAGCUUGUUGGUGGGGUAAUGGCCUACCAAGGCGACGACGGGUAGCCGGCCUGAGAGGGCGACCGGCCACACUGGGACUGAGACACGGCCCAGACUCCUACGGGAGGCAGCAGUGGGAAUAUUGCACAAUGGGCGAAAGCCUGAUGCAGCGACGCCGCGUGAGGGAUGACGGCCUUCGGUUGUAAACCUCUUUCAGCAGGACGAAGCGAAAGUGACGGUACUGCAGAAGAAGCACCGGCCAACUACGCGCCAGCGACGCCGACGGUAAC